CAGCGACGGAAUACUCCUCUGCCUUUCGCGUUUUACACAUACACACACACACACACACUCUUUCUUUCUUUCUCUUUCUCUGUAUCUCUCUCUCUCUUUAUCUAUCAAUCUAUCAAUCUAUCUGUCUGCCUGUCUAUCUAUCUAUCUAUCUAUCUAUCUAUCUAUCUAUCUAUCUAUCUAUCUAUCUAUUUAUCUCUUUCUUCCUUGUCGCCAUUUUAAUCGGAAACGCGUGUGGACUUUUAAACCAUUGAGGGAAUAUUGAAUUACGAUUUUUUUUUUUUUUUUAUUUAUUUGUUUUGUUGUUUUUUUCUUCUUUUUUGUUUUUUUUUCUUUUUUGUACAAAAAAAAAAAAGAAUCGUCAUCGACCGUCACCUUCUCUAUUUGGAUCUUCCGCUAUAUAAUAUAGCCGCUUCGUUUUCGUACUUCAGCGUCAACUAAAACAACCACCAUGACAACAGCAGCCAAGUUAUACGGCAAGGAUUUAAGUGAAUAUGAAGAUGUUGAUGUGGAUGAAUUGCUGGCACAGUUAACGCAGGAAGAAAUCAAUAUACUUGCCAAGGAAGUUGAUCCAGAUGAUAGUUUUAUGCCUCCAUCACAGCGUUGCAGCUAUGAAUGCGACAAGAGUCCCACAGGGCCACUUAACCGAAAGAAACUCAUCGAACACAUUAAUAAACAAGCAUUGGAAACACCGGAUAGACCAGAAUUAAAACCUUAUGUACCUGGAGUUAUUAGAGGAAAAAAGUGGAUCCCACCGUCUCAGGAAAGCGCAAAGGAAAAAGAGGCAGAAGAACAAAUUGCUAUAGAUCUUGGCGAUGAAUAUGAACAAGCAUUAUCUAAUGCGACUCAAGAAGAGAUUAUUGAUCUUGCAGCAAUUCUUGGAUUCCACUCUAUGAUGAAUCAGGAUCAAUAUCAUGCAUCUUUAUUAAAUUCUGGACAGCCUGUGGGAUUGGGCUGGGAUGGAGUGACAAAAGCUAGUCAACCAAAGCCUUAUCCAAUGGAACCACCUAAUGAUACGGACGUUGAUGCAACUAUCAAACAAGUUAGAGAUGAUGAUUCUUCUCUAACUGAAUUAAAUUGGAAUAAUAUUAAAAAUAUCUCGGAUGAGAAAUUUAUACAAUUAUUUGAAGGAUUGGAAGGAAAUACGCAUCUUGAGUCAUUAAGUUUAACCAAUGUUGGACUUACUGACAAAACGGCACAAAGGUUGGCAGAAGCCAUGGAAAAGAACUCUACGCUUAGAGUAUUAAACGUCGAGACAAAUUUCAUAAGCCCACCUGUGAUAGUGAGGCUCAUUAGAGCUCUUCUUAAGACCAAAUCGAUCGAAGAAUUCCGAUGUUCCAAUCAGAGAUCACAAGUAUUGGGUAACAAAAUUGAAAUGGAAAUCACACAAUUGGUAGAACAAAAUCCAACGUUAUUACGACUUGGACUUCACUUUGAGUUUAAUGAUGCAAGACAUCGCGUUGCUGCACAUUUACAACGUAACAUCGAUAGGAUCUGUCGUGUGGAACCUAUGGAACGCGCUAAGGUCAUAGCGAUCGGCUCGGGUCGUGACACGUUCACCGUUCUUCCUGUAGAUGCUCUAAAAAAUCGUGCCUAGCGCUGACACGGCGCAUACGGCAGUCCCGGCUCGGGGUGGCGACAUCUUAACGCGAGUGGCGUUCGCCUAGAUCGCCUACGCCGCACGGGAAGGGCUUCCCGCAACUAUACCAUCGGCUGGGCCCUACAUUGACGAUCACAUAACGAUGGCGACGACGAUAUGACGACGUUAAGGACCGACGAUCGAGUAAAUUAAAUUAAAAUUAAAUAAUUCGAGAUGGAUACUCUUUUUA